rnacentral:rRNA from 6 species
GCUGUCGUCAGCUCGUGUUGUGAAAUGUUGGGUUAAGUCCCGCAACGAGCGCAACCCUUAUCCUUUGUUGCCAGCGAUUAGGUCGGGAACUCAAAGGAGACUGCCAGUGAUAAACUGGAGGAAGGUGGGGAUGACGUCAAGUCAUCAUGGCCCUUACGACCAGGGCUACACACGUGCUACAAUGGCGCAUACAAAGAGAAGCGACCUCGCGAGAGCAAGCGGACCUCAUAAAGUGCGUCGUAGUCCGGAUUGGAGUCUGCAACUCGACUCCAUGAAGUCGGAAUCGCUAGUAAUCGUGGAUCAGAAUGCCACGGUGAAUACGUUCCCGGGCCUUGUACACACCGCCCGUCACACCAUGGGAGUGGGUUGCAAAAGAAGUAGGUAGCUUAACCUUCGGGAGGGCGCUUACCACUUUGUGAUUCAUGACUGGGGUGAAGUCGUAACAAGGUAACCGUAGGGGAACCUGCGGUUGGAUCACCUCCUUACCUGAAAGAA